UACGUAGGGGGCUAGCGUUGUCCGGAAUCAUUGGGCGUAAAGAGCGUGUAGGCGGUCCGGUAAGUCCGCUGUGAAAGUCGGGGGCUCAACCCUCGAAUGCCGGUGGAUACUGUCGGGCUAGAGUGCGGAAGAGGCGAGUGGAAUUCCUGGUGUAGCGGUGAAAUGCGCAGAUAUCAGGAGGAACACCUAUUGCGAAGGCAGCUCGCUGGGACGUAACUGACGCUGAGGCACGAAAGCUAGGGGAGCAAACAGG
rnacentral:rRNA from 1 species